CUGGGGGGUCAUUGUGUCCACCCUUCUCCGCUCCUUAAGUGCUGGGAACAAUCAAAUGAGGUGGUACAAGUGUGAAGUGCACGGAUGUGGACUGUCAUGGAGUAAAUGCAGACCGAGGGGAGACUGUUCUUUCUAAAGAGGCAGCAGGGACAGCCACAGAGCUAGUCGUGGUGACAUGGUUUCAUCCCGGUUCUGCCCCACGGUCUCUGCAGGAGGGAGGCCAGAAGAACCUCGAGGGGCAGAGGAAGAUUUUUCCUCCUCAGUAGUUGGCCUAACUGGCAGAAUAGACUUCCCUGGCCAGAGACGCUGCAGAGGAGAGAUCCUAGGACGAACCGCCCAGCAGAGGACUUGUGGCGAGUCACCUGGCGAGUCAAAUCCGGGUCAGACAAAAGCAACCGGACCCACGCUGACCGACUGCUGUGAGGAGCAGGCUGAUGGGAAGCUG
rnacentral:lncRNA from 1 species